CAAAGACCGGAGCUACAGAGCCCAGGCACCCAGCAGGGAAGGCUAAGGAAUCAACAAUGCAAUUAAAAGUCUUCAGCCAGCAAUGGAAAUAUUGAACAGUUGCACUGUUUCAAGUGAAGAGACAAUUGGUAACUCCAUAGACAGAGGGAAAAGCAUUAAGGUCAAUCCAGACAGGAUUUCAAUCAAGAGGAGAAAGCUAUCACUUGGUCAGAGACUUUGAAGGCAUGAAAAUUAAUCUGAGUACUCUGAAGGAGCUAGCCUGCCAAAGGAGGAAAAAUCAGAGCCUUUCAAACCAAAGGACUCAAAGAAAACAUCCUGGAAAGGCUAAAGCAAGGAGAGCGCCACAAGCCACCAGCUCAUUUUAAGUCAGUGAGGUACUGAACUAUUAAGGGGAAAGAAACUGGCAAUAUUGACUGAGAAAACUGGGACAAAGCCUGCAGAGGUUUAAUCCAGUUUGGUGCACAUACCUUUCAGCGUUACAUGAAAGCUUUUAGUUCCCUGGCCACACUGAAAUAGAAGACCUGAAAGCAACCUCAAAGGUUUCAUGAUUUGACUGCUCCAAGAAGGGAAAAAUAAAUUCAAGACCACAGAAUACAAGUAAACAGAAGCUGACUGGGGAAUCUCAAGAACUCAGGCUCUGUCCCAGUCUUCUGGCUGUUUCCUGGUGACACAAACUGCAUUCACAAGUGCCUGGAGCAAAGACAUUUGCCAGCAGCUACAAAUAUUCUCAAACAGAUCUGUACAUAACCACUGUCACGAUGCUGCUAAAAGGGAGAACAAGCC
ensembl:lncRNA